ensembl:misc_RNA 7SK 7SK RNA
AGAUAGAGGGAUGAGGGAAGACCUCCCUGGCAUGUCAUCGAGCAAAGACCUUGUUUGAGAUGAUGUCCUAGGCUUGUAUUCUCCCUCUCUUGAUGAUUCUGUGUUUGUCCCUUCCAAAGCUGUUACUUGAUACAAGUGGAAGGAAUUCCUGGAUAAGACUGUCUUCUGUUCAAUAGUCUGUGGGUAGCCCCAAUUACUUGAUAGAAGCUCCAAAUAAGUUCUCAAGAAUCACUUACAAGAAAAAGUGGGGUUGUCAGGCUUAAGUUAAAACAUGUAAUUCUGCUUAAGACCAGGUCUCAAAUAGC